UACGGGGGGAGCAAGCGUUGUUCGGAUUUACUGGGCGUAAAGGGCGCGUAGGCGGCCAGCACAAGUCAGUUGUGAAAUCUCCGAGCUUAACUCGGAAAGGUCAACUGAUACUGUGCGGCUAGAGUGCGGAAGGGGCAACUGGAAUUCUUGGUGUAGCGGUGAAAUGCGUAGAUAUCAAGAGGAACACCAGUGGCGAAGGCGGCUCACUGGCCCGAUACUGACGCUGAGGUGCGAAAGCGUGGGGAGCAAACAGG
rnacentral:rRNA from 1 species